GGUCAGAGGUUGGACUAGGUGAUCUUGGAGGUCUCUUCCAACCUAGACGAUUCUGUGAUUUCCCUUCUAAGCCAUGUAAACCAACACCAGACAGAAAACCUAAGAUCUUGCCUUUCUGACUUGAAACCUGCAGCUUCUUCUAUGCUUGGAACAUGACAAAGAAAUUGAUGGUGCCCUUUUUAUUACACUCUGUGUCCCUGCAUAGGUGCCAUUUGGUCUGUUACUGGCAAGUGUAUACCCAUCCCAGAAGAGACCUGGAGUUAGAGAGCUGCUGA
rnacentral:lncRNA from 1 species